rnacentral:tRNA from 1 species
GGACUCUGACUCAGUGGUAGAGUACUUGCCUAGCAUGUAUGAGGCACUGGGUUCAAUUCUCAGCACCA